rnacentral:rRNA from 1 species
UACAGAGGGUGCGAGCGUUAAUCAGAAUUACUGGGCGUAAAGGGCGCGUAGGCGGUUAUGUAAGUUAGAUGUGAAAUCCCUGGGCUUAACCUAGGAACUGCAUCUAAGACUGUAUAGCUAGAGUGCAGUAGAGGGUAGUGGAAUUUCCGGUGUAGCGGUGAAAUGCGUAGAUAUCGGAAGGAACACCAGUGGCGAAGGCGGCUACCUGGACUGACACUGACGCUGAGGCGCGAGAGCGUGGGGAGCAAACAGG